rnacentral:rRNA from 1 species
UGCCAGCAGCCGCGGUAAUACAGAGGGUGCAAGCGUUAAUCGGAAUUACUGGGCGUAAAGCGUGCGUAGGUGGAUAUUUAAGUCAUAUGUGAAAGCCCCGGGCUUAACCUGGGAAUUGCAUCYUGAUACUGGGUAUCUGGAGUAUGGUARAGGAUAGUGGAAUUUCCGGUGYMSCGGUGAAAUGCGUAGAUAUCGGAAGUAACACCAGUGGCAGAAGGCGACUGUCUGGGCCAAUACWGACACUGAGGUASCGAAAGCGUGGGUAGCGAACAGGAUUACAUACCCKGGUAGUCCAAGGGCCGAAUUCGUUUAAAACCNUGCAGGACU